rnacentral:rRNA from 1 species
AUUGAACGCUGGCGGCAGGCUUAACACAUGCAAGUCGAGCGAGCGGCGGACGGGUGAGUAAUGUCUGGGAAACUGCCUGAUGGAGGGGGAUAACUACUGGAACCGGUAGCUAAUACUGCAUACCAUCAGAUGAGCCCUGAGGGGAUUAGCUCGUAGGUGAGGUAAUGGAGCACCAAGGCGACGAUCCCUAGCUGGUCUGAGAGGAUGACCAGCCAUACUGGAACUGUGAGCCGUUCCAGACUCCUAAGGGAGUCAGCAGGGGGGAAGAAUGCAAAAAGGGCGAAAGCCUGAUGCAGCAAUGCCGGGUGUGUGAAGAAGGCCUUCGGGUUGUAAAGCACAUGCAGCUAGGAGGCGUUACUCACAGAAGAAGCACCGGCUAGCUCCGUGCCAGCAGCCGCGGUAAUAC